rnacentral:rRNA from 1 species
UAGUACACUUAAAUUUAAUUUAUGAGUACUAGAAUAUUAAGAGUUAUAUUCUUUAAAUUUAAAAAAUUUGGCGGUGUUUUAGUCUAGUUAGAGGAACCUGUAUUAUAAACGAUAUAACACGCAUUAUUUUACUUAUUUUAGUAAACAGUUUGUAUACCGUCAUUAUUAGAUAAUUUAUGAGAAAAUAUUAUUGAGAUCAUAUUAUUGAGUAUAUUAGAUCAAGGUGCAGCUUAUAAAUAAGUAAGUAUGGGUUACAAUAAAAUUUAUUUAUAUGGAUUGGGUAUUUAAAUAUAUUUAUGAAGGAGGAUUUAAUUGUAAGAUAAGGAGUAGUAAGAUUUUCUGAUAAAAGCUCUAAAUUAU